UGUCGAUGGUAGGAUAGAGGCCUACCAUGGUUGCAACGGGUAACGGGGAAUAAGGGUUCGAUUCCGGAGAGGGAGCCUGAGAAACGGCUACCACAUCCAAGGAAGGCAGCAGGCGCGCAAAUUACCCAAUCCCAACACGGGGAGGUAGUGACAAUAUGUAACAAUAUACGGCCUUAUACGUCGUAUAAUUGGAAUGAGUACAAUUUAAAUCCCUUAACGAGGAACAAUUGGAGGGCAAGUCUGGUGCCAGCAGCCGCGGUAAUUCCAGCUCCAAUAGCGUAUAUUAAAGUUGUUGCAGUUAAAAAGCUCGUAGUUAGACCUUGGACCUGGACAGGCGGUCCGCCUCACGGCGAGUACUGUCUUGCUGGGUCUUUCCUCUUGGUGAUCUGUUGUUUCGGCAGCAGGGAACCAGGACUUUUACUUUGAAAAAAUUAGAGUGUUCAAAGCAGGCUCGACGCCGGAAUAUAUUAGCAUGGAAUAAUAAAAUAGGACGUGCGGUUCUAUUU
rnacentral:rRNA from 1 species